UGUAAAAUAAGUUAACAAAACUGUUGGGCUCAUGUCCCAAAUAUAGAAAUGAAAACUUUCUUUUUACCC
rnacentral:tRNA from 1 species